GCCCAAUUAGCUCAGUUGGUUAGAGCAUGUCAUUAGUAAUGACAAGGUCCAUGGUUCGACUCCGUGAUUGGGCU